UCUAUUACCAAGAAAUCAUUUAGGUUGCAAAACUUUCAGUGUUAACUGAAUCCCAAUUUAUCUUUAUAGCUGUAUUUUUUCUUGUUUCUUUUUAACUGAAGAAGCACUUGGUUGUCCAAGGAGGGGACUCAACAAAACAGAAAACGACACGCAUUCUACAGUCCCUCCUUAGUAGGAACGCGGCAAUAAGCUUCAGUUGGUUUGGAACGAAGGGAAAAAAGAAAUUCUCCGAGCUGAAUCUGUGCAAGCUAAUGUGUGGCACAUUGACUAAUGACAUCAGACACCCAGAUGCCACCCUAGAGGAUCUCAAGAGGGCUGCCAUGACUUGGUUCCGCCAUGCUGCCAAGCGAUUUGCUGCUCAACAAAUAUAAUUUUUUUAAUUUCGCUAU
rnacentral:lncRNA from 1 species